AGUGUCUGGCAAAGUGUCUGCCCAUAAAUUGGUGAAAGUGUUUGCAGCUCUUUGUGUACUUUGUCUGCUGGGAGGUGUCGUCAUUGGUGUUUGGUUUAUAGUGAAAAUCCUGUUUAGGCCAAACUCAGCACAGAGCCCUGCAAGCCUAGGAGACACUAAAGAUACGUCCUUCUGCAAUGUAACUGAGGACAUCUCUGUGGCAGACCCCAGAAAAGUAUGCUGUUUUAGGGGUGAUUUUGACUGAAUGGGACUCAGUGUUUUACAGGAUCAGUGCUGAGAACUCUCUUCUGGAGAUCCAGCUGGAGAAGCUCCAGACAUGGCUGCCCGUAUGUUAUGAGCGGUGGAACUCUUCACUGGGAACGCUUGUAUGUCGACAGCUGGGCUAUCUGAGGUGAGCAUGCUGACAUCUGAAUCACACACACACACACUUGCAGCUCUCAGCACCUUUCACUUGACUACCAGCUGUGG